CUGAAUAAAAGAGCAGGCCUGAAAGAAUUACAAUGGUGGAGACUUUGAUGUACGAAUAGUUAGAAGAGCGGAAGAGGAGAACACAUAACUCAGCCCUAGAUUGCACCCUCAAGAAAUCAUGUUGAGAUUCCCAACAGAUCCCUAUGGAGCAGGUGAGCAUUAUCCCCAGAUGGACAUGAGGGCUCAUCCUGAAGAGUGACUGGUAGAUUGUUUCCCAAGAUGUCAGAGCAGACUGAAGAGCACAGCAUGAGGUAUUUGGAGAAACAUGACAUUUCUCCUGAUGUGCACUGAGCAGAGGCUGAAGAGGAGGAGCAGAGGCCAGAGGAAAAGCAGGAGAGAUUGCUCUUUAAACUGUUAAUUGGUGUUAUCCAUUGCAUAACUGCAGGUAAGCACAUAACUGCUAAUUUUAAGGUAUUCACACAAGUUGCAUUUAGUUGCUUUAGAUUCUCCAAUUUUUUUUUUAUGGUUGAGUACUCAAUUACUUGAAAUGAUACUUGAGUACAAGUUUUCUGAAAAGAUUAUAUUGUCCAGGGAUAGGUGGGAAAGCACUAGGAAUAGGAAACAUUGUCUGCCAAUGCGAAGAAUGAAACAAAUUUCCCAGCCAUAUAAAUCUGUAACAAUCUGAGAAGUAGGCAUACAUGGAAUAAAGCCAUUUGGGACCAAAUUAAAGCCCAUUUUCCUUUGUUCUUUCUUAUACAA